AUGGGAGAAGUUGGAGAUAUCAUUCCAAGAGAAAAUGGGGAAAUUGGAAGGAUCAAUACCAAGGGAAAUGGAAAAUGCUACAAUAGCUGCUAUUUCAUUUCCCAAAUAGAAGAGCAAGUGCCUAUUACUGUUGCAGACAUAGCAGAAGAGCCAGUUUUAGAUUCCAAUGCAGAAAGUUUGAUAUGCAGAUGUUGAUCUUAGAUGAGGAGCACUUGCAACUGUGAUGACUUUCAGUGGUGACACAGUAGAUGGGACGUCAUCUAAGUUGCUGAAUUCAAAAGAAAAACAGGCACAUAUUGUUUCAAG
rnacentral:misc_RNA from 1 species